UACAGAGGUCUCAAGCGUUGUUCGGAUUCAUUGGGCGUAAAGCGCGCGCAGGCGGUCCUUUAAGUCUGAUGUGAAAGCCCACGGCUCAACCGUGGAGGGUCAUUGGAAACUGGGGGACUUGAGUGCAGGAGAGAAGGGUGGAAUUCCACGUGUAGCGGUGAAAUGCGUAGAGAUGUGGAGGAACACCAGUGGCGAAGGCGACUUCCUGGCCUGCUCUUGACGCUGAGGCGCGAAAGCUAGGGUAGCAAACGGG
rnacentral:rRNA from 1 species